rnacentral:lncRNA from 1 species
AUGGGAUGUGCGUCGUGGGGUUGUUGACAAUAUUUAUUGUGUUCAGGUUCUUCAGGCGGUGGCUGGGUGACAUCGACCGCAGCGUGUAACAUCCAGGAGACCUGGCUGGAACCUUCAGAACAUCAGGCUCAGGGACUGCGAACUGUCCCCCGUGGUCAACAGCGACCUGUGUCGCCGCGUUUCGCUCGGUCAACGGCCUCACCCACCACAAAACCCGUGGUCAGGAACGAUAUCCGGCUGUCAGCCCGACUCAUCCAGAGCCUGGACCAGAGGGCGGAGCUUUGGGCCGGACAGAGGGAGACCAACCCUGUCCUGAAGAACAUCACUGAUCACCUGAUAGAGGAGGUGAGUGCAGAGGAGGAGGAGCUGGCCGGGACCUCAGGGAGCAACAGCGAUGAAGACUCCUCAGGACGUUACCGUGGAAACAGAUGAUGUGCUCCUCAAG